UACGAAGGGGGCUAGCGUUGUUCGGAAUUACUGGGCGUAAAGCGCGCGCAGGCGGUCUUCCAAGUCAGUGGUGAAAGCCCGGAGCUCAACUCCGGAACUGCCUUUGAUACUGCAAAUCUCGAGUCCGGAAGAGGUGAGUGGAAUUCCUAGUGUAGAGGUGAAAUUCGUAGAUAUUAGGAAGAACACCAGUGGCGAAGGCGGCUCACUGGUCCGGUACUGACGCUGAGGUGCGAAAGCGUGGGGAGCAAACAGG
rnacentral:rRNA from 1 species